rnacentral:lncRNA from 1 species
CAAACGCUAGACCCUAAAACACUCUUGCUUCUUCCUGCUACCAUCUCUACCAAUUAAGUUCAAAAUUUGAAGGAAUUAAGCUUCCAAAAAUCAUCUACCCAGAAAAAAGCUUUUGAGAAAAAUCUGAAUAUUAUCCAGGGCUACAAUAUUGCGACAGUCAAAGAGAGGAAUCAAACUAAAAUGCACAUUUUCCCAUUAAAUGGCUUCUGGAAAAAGCAAUCCCCUAGACACACAGAUGAACAUAGGACCCAGGCAUCUCCAUUUCUCCCAGCAAUACCGGUAGGAAGAAAAAAUGGGGGAGGGGCACAAACGUUAAGCAUCUUUUCCCUGUGAUUGACAUGGCCAAAGCCUUUCUACCACAGAAGAGAAUAAGGCACCCCUUCAGGUGAAGCAGAAAUGAGAAAUGUACAUUGGCAAAGAAAUGAAACAUUGGCAAAGAACUGAGUAGGUCCAUUUCAUCUGAGAUUCAGGUCUUCCUUUGAAUCAGAGAGUUACUUACUAGAGCAACAUUUCCAACACAAUGUUCCAAUAAUUCACUUCUGUUUUUGUUUAAACUACUUUAAGCUAGACAACUCCCAGUAAAGCCAAGAGAAUUCUGU